rnacentral:rRNA from 1 species
ACACAUGCAAGUCGAGCGGUAGCACAGAGAGCUUGCUCUCGGGUGACGAGCGGCGGACGGGUGAGUAAUGUCUGGGAAACUGCCUGAUGGAGGGGGAUAACUACUGGAAACGGUAGCUAAUACCGCAUAACGUCGCAAGACCAAAGUGGGGGACCUUCGGGCCUCAUGCCAUCAGAUGUGCCCAGAUGGGAUUAGCUGGUAGGUGGGGUAACGGCUCACCUAGGCGACGAUCCCUAGCUGGUCUGAGAGGAUGACCAGCCACACUGGAACUGAGACACGGUCCAGACUCCUACGGGAGGCAGCAGUGGGGAAUAUUGCACAAUGGGCGCAAGCCUGAUGCAGCCAUGCCGCGUGUGUGAAGAAGGCCUUCGGGUUGUAAAGCACUUUCAGCGGGGAGGAAGGCGGUGAGGUUAAUAACCUCAUCGAUUGACGUUACCCGCAGAAGAAGCACCGGCUAACUCCGUGCCAGCAGCCGCGGUAAUACGGAGGGUGCAAGCGUUAAUCGGAAUUACUGGGCGUAAAGCGCACGCAGGCGGUCUGUCAAGUCGGAUGUGAAAUCCCCGGGCUCAACCUGGGAACUGCAUUCGAAACUGGCAGGCUAGAGUCUUGUAGAGGGGGGUAGAAUUCCAGGUGUAGCGGUGAAAUGCGUAGAGAUCUGGAGGAAUACCGGUGGCGAAGGCGGCCCCCUGGACAAAGACUGACGCUCAGGUGCGAAAGCGUGGGGAGCAAACAGGAUUAGAUACCCUGGUAGUCCACGCUGUAAACGAUGUCGAUUUGGAGGUUGUGCCCUUGAGGCGUGGCUUCCGGAGCUAACGCGUUAAAUCGACCGCCUGGGGAGUACGGCCGCAAGGUUAAAACUCAAAUGAAUUGACGGGGGCCCGCACAAGCGGUGGAGCAUGUGGUUUAAUUCGAUGCAACGCGAAGAACCUUACCUGGUCUUGACAUCCACAGAACUUUCCAGAGAUGGAUUGGUGCCUUCGGGAACUGUGAGACAGGUGCUGCAUGGCUGUCGUCAGCUCGUGUUGUGAAAUGUUGGGUUAAGUCCCGCAACGAGCGCAACCCUUAUCCUUUGUUGCCAGCGGUCCGGCCGGGAACUCAAAGGAGACUGCCAGUGAUAAACUGGAGGAAGGUGGGGAUGACGUCAAGUCAUCAUGGCCCUUACGACCAGGGCUACACACGUGCUACAAUGGCAUAUACAAAGAGAAGCGACCUCGCGAGAGCAAGCGGACCUCAUAAAGUAUGUCGUAGUCCGGAUUGGAGUCUGCAACUCGACUCCAUGAAGUCGGAAUCGCUAGUAAUCGUAGAUCAGAAUGCUACGGUGAAUACGUUCCCGGGCCUUGUACACACCGCCCGUCACACCAUGGGAGUGGGUUGCAAAAGAAGUAGGUAGCUUAACCUUCGGGAGGGCGCUUACCACUUGGAUUC